rnacentral:misc_RNA from 1 species
GAUGAAGAACGCAGCGUAAUGCGAUACGUAAUGUGAAUUGCAGAAUUCAGUGAAUCAUCGAGUCUUUGAACGCACAUUGCACCCCCUGGUAUUCCGGGGGGCAUGCCUGUCCGAGCGUCAUUGCUGCCCUCAAGCACGGCUUGUGUGUUGGGCCUCCGUCCUCCUCCCGGGGGACGGGCCCGAAAGGCAGCGGCGGCACCGCGUCCGGUCCUCGAGCGUAUGGGGCUUCGUCACCCGCUCUUGUAGGCCCGGCCGGCGCUUGCCGACACAUCAAUCUUUUUUCCAGGUUGACCUCGGAUCAGGUAGGGAUACCCGCUGAACUUAAGCAUAUCAAUAAGCGGAGGA